AACGUAGGACGCAAGCGUUAUCCGGAGUUACUGGGCGUAAAGCGCGGGCAGGCGGCUCGAUGCGUCUGAUGUGAAAUCUCCUCGCUCAACGGGGAGAGGCCAUUGGAAACGGGCGGACUGGAGGCCAGUAGGGGGAUGCGGAAUUCCGGGUGUAGUGGUGGAAUGCGUAGAGAUCCGGAGGAACACCAGCGGCGAAGGCGGCAUCCUGGACUGGUCCUGACACUCAGGAGCGAAAGCGUGGGGAGCGAUCCGG
rnacentral:rRNA from 1 species